AUGUCCGUGGUUGAAUUCGAUUUUUAACUGUUACUUUUUAUAAUUUUAUCGACGAAUUCCUGGAAACUGUUUUUUUUUUUCAUGUUAUUUAUAAAAGAAAAAAUUUUCUCUGCUGGGUCUUUGAUUAUGGUGUUGUGAUUUUUACGCUUGCUAUUAACUUAAAUUGAACGUUUUUAACUGCUUGAGAAGGGUGUGAUUUUGGACUUUGACAGAAAACAGAAAUUAUUUCUCCAAUACUUUUUUUUUUUUUGUAAUAAUAUCUUUUUAUAAGUUGGUUAGAAUGGGAGAAUUGGGUUCAAAUUCGAUCUGAAUUCCAGUGGUUGAAACCAUUGUUUUAAGGUCAAUCUCUUCUUUAAAUCUAUUUGAAGCAACUUUAUUGUUUUUUUAAUUUGCGUGUCGGAGUUUGUAUAAAUCCACCUGCGCAGCCUCUGGUUGAAGAAGUAAAGCAAUAAUGAGUCAGCCUAAAAUUAAACGCCAGGUUGGUAAAUAUGAGGUGGGAAGAACAAUUGGUGAGGGUACAUUUGCAAAAGUAAAGUUUGCAAGGAAUUCCAAGACUGGGGAACCUGUGGCUCUUAAGAUUCUAGAUAAAGAGAAAGUUCUCAAGCACAAGAUGGCUGAACAGAUCAGGCGGGAGAUUGCCACAAUGAAGUUGAUAAAGCAUCCCAACGUUGUUCAAUUAUAUGAGGUGAUGGGAAGCAAGACAAAGAUAUAUAUUGUCUUGGAGUUUAUUACUGGAGGAGAGCUGUUUGACAAGAUUGCAAAUCAUGGACGGAUGAGAGAGGAUGAGGCACGAAGAUACUUCCAGCAGCUUGUUAAUGCUGUUGAUUAUUGCCAUAGCAGGGGUGUCUUCCACAGGGAUCUUAAGCCUGAAAACUUGCUGUUGGAUGCUUACGGAAACCUUAAAGUUUCUGAUUUUGGAUUGAGUGCUUUGUCCAAACAAGUCAGGGAGGAUGGCCUCCUUCACACGACUUGUGGAACUCCAAACUAUGUUGCUCCCGAGGUUCUUAAUGACAGAGGCUAUGAUGGGGCAACUGCAGACUUGUGGUCUUGUGGAGUGAUACUCUUUGUACUAAUUGCAGGGUACUUGCCUUUUGAUGAUUCUAAUCUUAUCAACCUAUAUAAAAAAAUUUCUGCGGCUGAAUUCACUUGCCCUCCCUGGCUUUCUUUCCCUGCCAUGAAAUUGAUAACUUGUAUCUUGGAUCCCAACCCUAUGACUCGCAUAACUAUUCCCGAAAUUCUUGAAGAUGAAUGGUUUAAGAAAGACUAUAAGGCCCCAGUUUUUGAGGAGAAGGAAGAAACAAACUUGGAUGAUGUAGAAGCUGUUUUUCAGGAUUCAGAAGAGCACCAUGUGACAGAGAAGAAAGAAGAACAGCCUGCAGCCAUGAAUGCAUUUGAGUUGAUAUCUUUAUCAAAAGGGCUAAACCUUGAGAAUUUGUUUGAUGUAGAACAGGGAUUUAAGAGAGAGACAAGGUUCACAUCUAAAUGUCCUGCUAACGAGAUAAUCGAUAAACUAGAAACAGCAGCUAAGCCUCUUGGUUUUGAUGUUCAUAAGAAAAAUUACAAGAUGAGGCUUGAAAACAUGAAAGCUGGGAGAAAGGGAAACCUUAAAGUGGCCACUGAGAUAUUUCAAGUAGCUCCUUCACUUCAUAUGGUUGAGGUACGAAAAACCAAGGGGGAUACUUUGGAGUUUCAUAAGAUUCCAAUCGCAAAGGCUCCCAUCAGUAACUUGUUGGAGACAUCCCAGAGUGGUGCCGAAAGUCAUUCGAACAUACACCUAUACUCAGCCACCAUAUCUAGUUGUUGAAGUGAACACAGUUUUUUGUGUGGUGAUCCAUCCUGAGAGCAUCAAAAUCACUCUAACAAGCCCCUCUUCAAAUCAUCCUAGAUGUUGAAUGAAAUCUUUGUCUCCCUCCAAUGUAAUCAGCUCAAGGCCAUGCCUUCCAUACAUACCACUACUGAUGUUAGCUUGGCAUCAGCAAUGCGGCUUGCCAUGAAAUAUCUCUGUCUGAAAAUCCACCUUGAGGGAUCUUCUCCAAUGAACAUCGGUAACUCCAUCAUUGGUAGGGUGUCUUGUCGACCAUUUUGCUGGUUUUCACUUCUAGUCUCCUAGUAACUUCUCCAGUUGCAGUCUCUCCAUAACUCAUUUGUUCAUUUUGUCUCAUUGGUAAAGGUGGUGUCAUUUCUCUCACUAGAGACAAUUGUACCGACGAUGGGGUUUGUUCAUCCACACUUUUCCUCAAUCACCAUUAGGUAACUCUAUUCAUGAUCCUUUUUGUCAACUCCAUAAGACGAUCUUUCACCAUUUUCACACUACCCUCCACAUUGUCCAUUCUCGAGUUCAUGUUUUCCAAUUCCAUGUGUAGUCCAUCCAAUCUCCUCUUCACAAAUUCAAGAUCCUUCUCUAUCUCAUCUACUCUUGCCUCCAUUUUCGUCAUGCACCGAUACCAAUUGUCACGUUUUGCCAAUUUUUGUCCACACUUGAGGGUUGUUCUCAGCUCAUAGCAUACCUUCCAGUCCGUGGGCAGACUCCAUUUUGCAGUGCCCCAACUCAAAAAAUGUGCAAGGCAACAGCCCAGAAUUUCCAGCUGAGUUCCUAGAGCAGCAAAUUUUUAUAUAGAAGUUUCCAUGGCUAAAGUUGCUUGUGUUCUACAAAAACCUAUCGACGAGCCUGGAUGAUGUGGUGUGGAAAACCGAGGAGGAUAUGCAAGAGAUGCGCUGAUGGGGCUUUAACAUUGAAGUCUUUCUUUUGACGAUGCUUAGCCAGUGAAAUGUUCAAACGCCUCUAUAUCUUCAUUCUUUUUGUUUUUUUUUUUUUCCCUUUUUUUUUUAAAGAUUAAAGAAAUAUGGAUUCACCAAUUGUCUGCCUUGAUAUUGUUUGUGGAAAUGGUGGGUGAUUUCCAUAGAGAUGGAUCUCAAUCAUGAGAAAUUAUUAUCUUAUCCACUUGUGUGUGUAUUUGUGUGUAUAUAUAGUUUAUGUAUAUACUUUUCAUAUUUUGAAUAAUGUUAUAUGAAUAUAUUUUUUAGUA